rnacentral:rRNA from 1 species
AGAGUUUGAUCAUGGCUCAGAUUGAACGCUGGCGGAAUGCUUUACACAUGCAAGUCGAACGGCAGCACGGGGGCAACCCUGGUGGCGAGUGGCGAACGGGUGAGUAAUACAUCGGAACGUGCCCAGUCGUGGGGGAUAACGUAGCGAAAGCUACGCUAAUACCGCAUACGAACUCUGGUUGAAAGCGGGGGAUCGCAAGACCUCGCGCGAUUGGAGCGGCCGAUGGCAGAUUAGGUAGUUGGUGGGGUAAAGGCUCACCAAGCCGACGAUCUGUAGCUGGUCUGAGAGGACGACCAGCCACACUGGGACUGAGACACGGCCCAGACUCCUACGGGAGGCAGCAGUGGGGAAUUUUGGACAAUGGGCGCAAGCCUGAUCCAGCCAUUCCGCGUGCAGGAUGAAGGCCCUCGGGUUGUAAACUGCUUUUGGACGGAGCGAAAAGGCCUUUUCUAAUACAGAGGGCUCAUGACGGUACCGUCAGAAUAAGCACCGGCUAACUACGUGCCAGCAGCCGCGGUAAUACGUAGGGUGCAAGCGUUAAUCGGAAUUACUGGGCGUAAAGCGUGCGCAGGCGGUUAUGUAAGACAGGUGUGAAAUCCCCGGGCUUAACCUGGGAACUGCAUUUGUGACUGCAUAGCUAGAGUACGGUAGAGGGGGAUGGAAUUCCGCGUAGCAGUGAAAUGCGUAGAUAUGCGGAGGAACACCGAUGGCGAAGGCAAUCCCCUGGACCUGUACUGACGCUCAUGCACGAAAGCGUGGGGAGCAAACAGGAUUAGAUACCCUAGUAGUCC